UACGGAGGAUCCGAACGUUAUCCGGAUUUAUUGGGUUUAAAGGGUGCGCAGGUUGUUUGAUAAGUCAGUGGUGAAAGUCUGUCGCUUAACGGUAGGAUUGCCAUUGAUACUGUUGGACUUGAAUAUGGAUGAGGUAGGCGGAAUGUGUAGUGUAGCGGUGAAAUGCAUAGAUAUCACGAGGAACUCCGAUUGCGCAGGCAGCUUACUAAACUACUACUGACGCUCAGGCACGAAGGCGUGGGGAUCAAACAGGAUUAGA
rnacentral:rRNA from 1 species